rnacentral:rRNA from 1 species
GUCUUGACAUCCACGGAAGUUUUCAGAGAUGAGAAUGUGCCUUCGGGAACCGUGAGACAGGUGCUGCAUGGCUGUCGUCAGCUCGUGUUGUGAAAUGUUGGGUUAAGUCCCGCAACGAGCGCAACCCUUAUCCUUUGUUGCCAGCGGUCCGGCCGGGAACUCAAAGGAGACUGCCAGUGAUAAACUGGAGGAAGGUGGGGAUGACGUCAAGUCAUCAUGGCCCUUACGACCAGGGCUACACACGUGCUACAAUGGCGCAUACAAAGAGAAGCGACCUCGCGAGAGCAAGCGGACCUCAUAAAGUGCGUCGUAGUCCGGAUUGGAGUCUGCAACUCGACUCCAUGAAGUCGGAAUCGCUAGUAAUCGUGGAUCAGAAUGCCACGGUGAAUACGUUCCCGGGCCUUGUACACACCGCCCGUCACACCAUGGGAGUGGGUUGCAAAAGAAGUAGGUAGCUUAACCUUCGGGAGGGCGCUUACCACUUUGUGAUUCAUGACUGGGGUGAAGUCGUAACAAGGUAACCGUAGGGGAACCUGCGGUUGGAUCACCUCCUU